rnacentral:rRNA from 1 species
UACAGAGGUCCCAAGCGUUGUCCGGAGUUACUGGGCGUAAAGCGCGCGCAGGUGGUUCCCUAAGCCCGGCGUGAAAGCCCCCGGCUCAACCGGGGAGGGUCGUCGGGGACUGGUGAACUUGAGGGCGGCAGGGGCUGGUGGAAUCCCCGGUGUAGUGGUGAAACGCGUAGAGAUCGGGGGGAACACCCGUGGCGAAGGCGGCCAGCUGGGCCGACCCUGACACUGAGGCGCGAAGGCGUGGGGAGCGAACGGG